CCUACGGGAGGCAGCAGUCGAGAAUCAUUCACAAUGGGGGAAACCCUGAUGGUGCGACGCCGCGUGGGGGAAUGAAGGUCUUCGGAUUGUAAACCCCUGUCAUGUGGGAGCAAAUUAAAAAGAUAGUACCACACGAGGAAGAGACGGCUAACUCUGUGCCAGCAGCCGCGGUAAUACAGAGGUCUCAAGCGUUGUUCGGAAUCACUGGGCGUAAAGCGUGCGUAGGCUGUUUCGUAAGUCGUGUGUGAAAGGCGCGGGCUCAACCCGCGGACGGCACAUGAUACUGCGAGACUAGAGUAAUGGAGGGGGAACCGGAAUUCUCGGUGGAGCAGGGAAAUGCGUAGAUAUCGAGAGGAACACUCGGGGCGAAGGCGGGUUCCUGGACAUUAACUGACGCUGAGGCACGAAGGCCAGGGGAGCGAAAGGGAUUAGAUACCCUUGUAGUC
rnacentral:rRNA from 1 species